CACAUCCAUCACGAGAAUGCUGGAGACAGAAUCUUGAGUGCUGUAGUCACAAAACGACUGAGUUUCCAGGAGAGAAACCUGGGUAGCAGGAGGUGAGGGCGAUGGACAGCUGACAUGAUGAUAGAAGCAGGGGCAGUGAUGCUCAGUCGUGCCCCAGAGAGACAGGAAGCCAUCAGCGUGGACUGGGAAAUCCCAUCGCCCCUUUCAUCAGCUUUGAAGGCAUUUGUCACGGACAGGGCAACUCAUUCAGUUAGACCUACAGCAAACAGCAAUCACCUGCUCGGCUCCAGCCGUCAGACAUAGUCUUCGAUCUGUUCUCCUAAAUCUGCAGCUUGAUGGAACACACCCUGGUUCAUCACCUGUGCCAACAUGUAACACUCCACAAUCAAAAGAGAAUUGUUGCCUCACCCACUGAGCACACCACACGGCUUUUUAACUACAGGAGACAAUUUUGCUGUCUUAAAAAGAAAUGUGUCCCCUUCUAGAAGCCUACAGCUAUUGCUACACCAUUAAAAUAAGUUCA